UCACGGGGCAGGAGGACCGGGCAGGCCCUGCAGACCAGGGACAAGGGCUUGCCACAGCGCCUGAGCCAGUCAGACGUCUGUCAGCAAACGCCGGGGCCACAGCCCCAAGACAGGACUGCAGAAGGGAGAAACUCACUUUGCUGAUUCCAGAAGCAGGCGACAGAGACCCUGCUCCCAUAGUAACUGGACUGGGAGAGACAGCAAAGUGGACCAGCGACCCCACGGCGUGAGCUCUAACAAGCCCCGGCCGGCGCACCCCACAGAACAAGGGAAGUGGACUUUCCUGGGGGCAGCUGCAGACCUCAGGGCACCUCCCAGACCCAUAAACACAGAGCAGCUGUGGGUGAGACUCGGGCAGGCGGCUGGGGAGCAAGACCACCUGGCCGCAGGCCUGUGGGGCAGGCACCUCAUGCUGCUGGCUCUCACCUCCACCAGGGGCCUGCAGUGCCCCCCACGUCCGCCUGCGCGAGCCACAGUGUGCACCCCGACAGCUUCCCAGAAGAGGAUAGCAGAGGACAUGGUCUCUGAUGGCCAAGGAAGAGUGAAAAGUCAGCCACGGAAGGACAGCAGAAAACCCCUCAGACCUUGGAAAUUAAGCAGGAUGUGCCAAGGACUGAAUGUGCUAAAGUGUCCAGACUGAAAUCCGACACUGCCUCGAGCUAAGUUAGAGUGAAGUUACCAUUCAAACUGUGCUUCGGGGAACUGCAUCCCCAUAGAUGCUGCAAAAACUAGAAGACAGCACAGUGGGCUAAACUGUGCCCCCAGCGCCUGGGCCGGAUCUAGCAUGGAGACAGGUCUUUGUAAGUGUGCUGGGCCUAAUCUGGGUCUGGAGGCGAACACACAAAGGAAGAGGCUGGCAGAGACAGACUGAGACCAGAGCAGGGUGGCCACAGCCGGGGCCUGAGCCCCGCCCAGUGGAGGAGGAGGGUGGGACAGGGGCACAGCCACACCUCUGCCAGAGGGCAGGCUCCGGGCUGCCGGACAAUACAUUUCCCCACUUUGGUUAGUGGAAGUUUAUUAGAGCAGUCCUAGGAAAUCCACACAGAGAGUGAGAGCUGUUAUAAAUAUCUGCAGUGGUAAUUUUUUAUUCAUAGAUAAGAUAGACAAAUUCUUUGAGAAACAACCUCCCAAAAUCUCAGAAGAGACAGAAGCUGAGCCACAUGAAGAGUGUGCAGGCCUGGGGGAUCCCAAGAAGAUCCUGCAGGCACCAAGGCAACCCCGCCGAGGAUGCUGGCCUGGUCACAGCCAGGAUGGCAGUGCUUGAGUGUCCGCCACCCUCUCAGAUUUGCUCUGCUUCGCAAACUGCCCUUGGAGUUAUUUUCUGUUUUUCCCCUUUGCCCUGAGGUGCUGACUGCUGCAGUUGCCCACGGCAUGGGAAGGAGAACCGCAAGCUUGGUACACAUGGUAUUGCUGCCCCACCAGCAUGGCUCCAGCUUCUCCUAGAAGAGGGUAGCUGCACACACAUGCGCGCACACACACACGAAGCCACCUGCCCCACAGGUGAGUCCAGCCCCCCGCCAUGUCCACAGGGGAAGCCAUCACCCUGGGCCUCCAGGAGCCGGGCCCACUCUGCAGCCCCGACACUACUGCCAGGACCCUAUAUCCGGAUGUGGCUCAGCGAUGACCCGGGAACCACCCAAGGCAGCACUCCCUGGAGGGGAAUCAUCUGUGGUGGCCCCGUCAGGUGGUCAGGUGGCAGCCCCAGGGUCCCCUGCAUCUUCAGGAGCCAUGCAUCCGCCGCUGUCUGUGGCCCGCGGGACCCACCCGGGGCUGGCUAGGACAGAGCUGCUGUGGCCUCUGCACAUCCAUGCAGCAGCGUGGGAGAGAGGCUGAGGGUGCUGCAGCCCCUCUCCUCCUCAGUCAGGGCUUCCUGCUCUAGAGGGUACCGUCCGGAUGCCCUUGUGUCUCCAGACACCUGGGCAGGAGGCCCGGAACCUCGGAGAUGGGGACCCAGAGCCGAGCCCCCGUGGACCUGUGCAGCGGCCCAUCUCAUUUGUGGGCUGAGGGGAAGAGGAACCAUGAAUGCACAGAAGGUUCUGGAAGCUGCCAGGCCUGCUCUGGCCAUGACCUGGCUAAUAAAUAUGCUGUUUAUCUCUAAGUUACACUUUUAGCAGAUUCAAAAAGUGCAGCCCUGGCAGACGCGCCCCUCCUUAGGUGGCUGAGACCAGGUGUACGUCCUGCGUCCUGCCUCCUGCCGUCUCCACCUAGAUACAGGCUGCGCCAUGUCCUUGCACACAGAAUGCAGAGCAGAUGUUACAGAAAGGAGAAAAGACCACAAAGCACAGCACAGUGUCUUCCCGGUGCCAAGUCGCCCGACAGCACCCACACAUCUGCCCUGACCGCUGCGUGGACCCCGGCCACGAAUAUUGCUCCAACCCUCCGGCUCGGGGAUCUCAUUCCUCCGCCGUUUGUCCCAGAAACACGUUCGAAGCCGUCCACACCAGCGGCCACCACAGGCCUGAGGAUGCCACAGAAGCCCCUCCACCAUACUGGCAUUGUCGUUCUUGCCACAAGCAGAGCUGGCCCCAGGUACCUCCAGGUGGGUGGUGGCUGGGCUGAGUCCCCAGCUGCACUGGUCUGGUGGCCCAGGGCCCAGGGCAGCUGCCCCUCGCCCUCGCUCAGGAAGCCCAAGCCUGGGCUGGGGCCUCUAACUAAACCCAGGCCGUGUGGCCCCUUCCUGACGGGGGCCUGCUCACCAUGGACCCAGG